ACAUCCCUGACCUUACGAUCUGCAAAACUCUUUUGCCUAGACUGAGCUGACCGAAGUCUGUCCUGAAUGAUCUUGACCUUAUCCAAGGCCACCUGUACCAAAUCUGUACCGAAUAACCGAGCCUCUCCCAACUCAAACCAUCCGACUGGGGACCGACACCGCCAACCAUACAACGCCUCAUACGAGGCCAUCUGAAUACUGGAAUGGUAGCUGUUGUUG
rnacentral:lncRNA from 1 species